UGGGGAAUCUUGGACAAUGGGCGAAAGCCUGAUCCAGCAACGCCGCGUGAGUGAUGAAGGCCUUCGGGUUGUAAAGCUCUGUCGGUUGGAACGAAUAAGAGACACUUAAUACGUGUCUCGAUGACGGUACCAGCAAAGGAAGCACCGGCUAACUCUGUGCCAGCAGCCGCGGUAAGACAGAGGGUGCAAGCGUUGUUCGGAAUUACUGGGCGUAAAGGGCGUGUAGGCGGUGAGGUGUGUCUGACGUGAAAGCCCUCGGCUUAACCGGGGAAAUGCAUCGGAAACUACCUUGCUUGAGUGCGAUAGGGGGUGGCGGAAUUCCCAGUGUAGAGGUGAAAUUCGUAGAUACUGGGAGGAACACCGGAGGCGAAGGCGGCCACCUGGUUCGUAACUGACGCUGAGACGCGACAGCGUGGGGAGCAAACAG
rnacentral:rRNA from 1 species